ensembl:snRNA U6 U6 spliceosomal RNA
CUGCUCUCUUAGCAGUACAUAUACUAAAAGUGAAACGAUACAGAGAAGAUUAGCAUGGCCCCUGUGCAAGGAUGACAUGCAAAUAUGAAGCGUUCCAUAUUUUC